rnacentral:rRNA from 1 species
GAAUAUUGGACAAUGGGGGCAACCCUGAUCCCGCCAUGCCGCGUGUGUGAAGAAGGCCUUUUGGUUGUAAAGCACUUUAAGCAGUGAAGAAGACUCCAUGGUUAAUACCCAUGGACGAUGACUUUCGCUGCAGAAUAAGCAACGGCUCACUCUGUGCCCGGCGCCGCGGGAAUACAGAGGGUGCAAGCGUUAAGCGGAAUUACUGGGCGUAAAGCGAGCGUAGGUGGCUUGAUAAGUCAGAUGUGAAAUCCCCGGGCUUAACCUGGGAACUGCAUCUGAUACUGUUAGGCUAGAAUAGGUGAGAGGAAGGUAGAAUUCCAGGUGUAGCGGUGAAAUGCGUAGAGAUCUGGAGGAAUACCGAUGGCGAAGGCAGCCUUCUGGCAUCAUAUUGACACUGAGGUUCGAAAGCGUGGGUAGCAAAC